rnacentral:misc_RNA from 1 species
UCUUGAUUACGUCCACUCUGUGUGUGUCUGGACGUUUAAGUCGACGUUGUACAUGUGUCUAAUCGUCACCCAAUAUUCAAAUGACUACUAGAUGCAUCCCUUCCCGACAACUUGGGUUGCCAACUUUCAGGUUUCUAUACUUAAG